UGGGGAAUCUUGCACAAUGGGCGAAAGCCUGAUGCAGCGACGCCGCGUGGGGGAUGAAGCAUUUCGGUGUGUAAACCCCUUUCGAUCCGGACGAAACCCCGCAAGGGAUUGACGGUACGGAUAUAAGAAGCCCCGGCUAACUACGUGCCAGCAGCCGCGGUAAGACGUAGGGGGCCAGCGUUGUUCGGAAUUACUGGGUGUAAAGGGUUCGUAGGCGGUGCGGCAAGUUGGGAGUGAAAUCUCUGGGCUUAACCCAGAGGCUGCUUCCAAAACUGCUGUGCUUGAGUGUGGGAGAGGCGCGUGGAAUUGCAGGUGUAGCGGUGAAAUGCGUAGAUAUCUGCAGGAACACCCGUGGCGAAAGCGGCGCGCUGGACCACUACUGACGCUGAGGAACGAAAGCUAGGGGAGCAAACAGGAUUAGAUACC
rnacentral:rRNA from 1 species